rnacentral:rRNA from 1 species
GUCUACGGUCAUGCUACCCUGAACAAGCCCGAUCCUGUCUGAUCUCAGAAGCUAAGCAGGUUAGUACCUGGAUGGGAGACCACCUAGGAAGACCAGGUGCUGUAGGCA